rnacentral:rRNA from 1 species
UACGGAGGGUGCAAACGUUGCUCGGAAUCAUUGGGCGUAAAGCGCACGUAGGCGGUCCGACAAGUCGGGUGUGAAAGCCCUGGGCUUAACCCAGGAAGUGCAUUCGAAACUGUCGGACUUGAAUACUGGAGAGGAUCGCGGAAUUCCCCGGUGUAGAGGUGAAAUUCGUAGAUAUCGGGGAGGAACACCCAGUGGCCGGAAGGCGGCGAUCUGGACAGGAUAUUGCGCUGAGGUGCGAAAGCGUGGGGAUCAAACAGG